GACUCCGGCAGCCUCUGUCUUUCCCACUGCGGGCCCUGCCUUUCAGGGGCGGGGCCCGGCCGCACCCCACUUCCCGCUUUGCACGCAGAUGGGCUGGGCUAGCCCCGGAACUGCGGCCCUGCGGGGCCUGGCUCCUUAAUGAGCGGGCGGGCCGGUCUUGCAAGAUAAGGCCAGGCGCGGACCAGCUUGCUGGGUCCUCCUGGAGGCAGAGCCGCAGGUCUCCUGCAGGAGGCUGGAGCGUGAGCCGGCUGCGGAGGCGCCCGCGGUCCUCUGUGAGCGGUGGCGCUGGCUGGCGGGAAGCAGUGGCCGGAUAGCGGCCGGACGUGCCCUCCUGGCGAGCAGUAGGCCGAGGGGACCCUGCUUCCGGGGCGCCGCCGCGGGCAGCUGUUCCCACGUCUGCGUUUAACGGGACCUCGUGUCUGCGCGUGGGGAUGUGGCACUCGCCUGGCAUACUGGAGGCCUCUGGUUCCAUUUCUCAGCAUCACCAAAAAUAACACAAAGUCACAGUUCCGGAAUGGAACAGAAGAGCUCCCGGAGGGAAGGCACGGCUCUUCGGGCAACGUCCUCAGUCCCAAACAUCCCUCGCACACCCCGCACUCACAUGGGCCGGUUUAUGGGGACCCGCAGCCAGAGUCUCCCCAAGGCCUCACAAUCCAGGAGCUUCUUAACCUUUAGAGCUCGAUCUUCCGCCUCUGUCCUGUUUCUCUUUCUGCACCGCCACUGGGGAGCUCCAUGUCAGAUGUCAAAUUCCUUUCCUUCCCGCCUUGUCUUUAGCAUUUAUGCAAGACAGACGUUCUGCCCUGCAUUUUG